GGGCCCGUGGCGCAGCACGGACAGCUCCGCCCGCGGAGCGCAGCGGCCUUCUAAGCCGUAGGUCGGGGGUUCAAGUCCCCCCGGGCCCG
rnacentral:tRNA from 1 species